rnacentral:lncRNA from 1 species
GUGGGGUGAGAAUGGCUACAUGAAGAUUCUUAGAAACGCUGAUGCCCCAGGUGGUGUUUGUGGCCUUGCUAUAAGACCUUUCUAUCCGACUAUGUAAUGUAUUAAUCAAAGGGUGGAGUGAGCUUCUCCACUUUGCCUAUAGGUUAUUAGUACUACAGACAAAACUCAUAGGCUGUGAAAAUGCCUGUAAUUUGUACUUUAUAUUCAACAAUGAAUUUUCCUACCCUGCUUAGGCUAAAUUAAUAACCACAGCUGCAACGGCAGUUUGCUGGAUUAUGCCUUUGAAUACAUAUAGCAAAACAGAGCAUGUGACAGAACGAGCACGCUUCCCAGAGAACUUAUGGAACAUGCCUUCCACAGUGAAAACGACCUAUUGAAGGCUGUGUCUCCAUGACGAGCCUUUCAGUUUCCUAAGUAGGGAUUUUCUCCAAUGAUCGUGGGACAGAACUGAACCACACAUUUGCAACCAGAAUUGUAUAGCUUUACCUUCGGGUGAUGGACCUUGGUUUGUUCACUGAUGUAACCCAGUGUCGUACAACUUCACCUUUGGUGAUAAUUAUGUCUUCGGGCCACUAUGAUACCCCUAGUGAGUACAAUAUCGAUGAUAUAUACAGAUUUACCUUUGGGCGGCGUUAGCACCAUUAUUGAGCAUUAUUUUACACGUACUUGUUUUACGAAUGUUUUCAUGGCAUGCUAGAGUUUUCAGAAACCUAUUAUGUAGUGUUAUAUGUGUUUUCAAAACAGGGGGUUAGUAUGUUCAUAAAGAAAAUGGUUUUCUUAUUAUUAGUAUUAUUAUUAUAAACUUUGGUCCACUCACUCUUUUGAUUUUGCACCCCCUUAGGAGUUAGAAUCGAGGCACCCGAUCCCGGCAUUAGGGCAUGUCCACUUAGGUAUCUUCGAGUCUUCUCAAGGUAGGACCCGUUCCUCUGUUUGUACCUUUUUAUAAUAAUUCUUUCAUAUUAUUCCUGAUUAGUUGUAUGCUCUGAACACGAUUCUGAGUUGGUAUUUCUUUCUAAUUACAUAUUUUAAUUGUAUGCAUGUUUAAAAUGGCUUCGUCACCUUCGGGUGUUGGUCAACACGUGCUUUAACGCAAGAAAAACCAAGGGAGUCUUAGGGAGACAGGGGAUGAUAACCUGUGAUUCGCUCAACCAGGGGCAACGGAGCUCACUCACGUUGCUAAUCGUGGAUUCUCUCACACAACCAAGCUAAAUGCUUGAUUUUAGAAGGAGAAAUCACUCUCUUCAAAUGCAUAGGGCAAUAAAAUUUUAAUUCAUUCAAGUCUGCCAUUCAAGGCUUUCUAGUACAAUAUUUAUAAGCGUUUACAAAUUAAUAGACUUUAAGUUUCUAUGACACCCUUACAACUCCCAAAAUAACUUAACAAAUUCCUAAGCAAUUAAAAUACAUAACCUUUGUUAUUCCAAUGCAUAUUAAUGGUUUCAAAUUGUUUUCUCCAAGUCUAUUUCCUGCAUCAUGCUUACCCUGAUAUUUGGAAAUAUCGGAUCGGAGCGUGUCAAAAUAUGUGAUUGGAGACAUGUUUUUGUAGAUUGAGAUGAAUGGUACUAGUCCAGCAAUGACCAUCAAAUCUCAAAUCUUUCUUCCAAAAAACAUGUUUUUGUAGAGUGAGAUUAAUGGUACUAGUCCAGCAAUCAUCAUUCAACAGGCCCAGAAAAAAAGUCUCACGGGCUGAAACAAAGCCCAAAAUGCAGCAUCAAAUCUUUCUUCCAACUUUGCCCGUAACAAAAGUUAACCAAAAUUAGUUAAAACAACUUCAUUUUAUUUACAAAAUUACCACCCAGCUUAAAAAGUCAAAUAAAAUCAAAAUUAGUUUAAUUUUCUAUUUUUUUUAUAAAACAAACGUUGCAACCACCCAUAUCAUGACACUUUUUUUAUUCCCAAUUUGAUAAUAUUAUGUUAAUAUUUGCUCCAAAGCAGGCAACCCACUUUUGUUCUUGAAAAUAACUAGAACAAAAUAACCAUUCACUAGACCCUAACUGCCAUAGUUUUGUAAUUAACUUUUUUUAUUUACAGGUCGUGUUUAACAUUCUUUAGGAAUAAAAAUUGCUAUGUUGUUUCUUCCAAAUAUUUAUUCACCUUUGACCCAACCAAAAAAAAUAUUUCGUAAUAACUCAAUAGCUUAAACGUAUUCAAAUGGCUAAUUUCAGUGAUGUCUUCCAAAGACACCUUUACAAACUCAACCAUAGCAAAAACGGAUAGCAAAGUAAAUGACAUCAACACAAAUUUUAUGCAAAACAACUAUGAAGUGCAGGCUGCAAUUUGCAACCACUAGAUCAAUUCCAACCAUUUCUAACACAAAAAAUUAUUAUGGUUGCAAGCAACCAUUUCUUAUUCGACAAUUUGAAAACUUUUACAUACACCGUACUUUUAUCCAAAAGUGUUACAUCACUUCAAAACUAUUGGAGCAAUGCUUUCCGUUUUUAAAAUUUAAACCAAAGCUAGUCUAUAAUAUAAAUCAUUUACAGUUAACAAUUACAUGCAUAACUACUAAAUGUAAGAAAUGACAGACCACCAACUCAAGAUAUCGUAUCGCUUACUCAAAUAAUUUUCCCUCUAGCCUUGCAGUGAGGCCUUGUUUAUGGAGUCUAUGUUAUGCUCAUACAAAGAAUAAAUUUACCAUUUAAGAUCUACAACUUCCAAUGACAGAUGUGACAAAAGCUUUCACUUCUUCCUUAUGUGUCAUGGUCAACUCCACAAAUCUCUUUAUAUGGUUCCAAGUAGGGGUGGGUUCGGUUCAAAUCGGUUCGGUUUUUUGCCAAAACCAAAACCUAACCGAAAUUUUGGUUCGGUUCAAUUUUUUUCGGUUCGGUUUUUUUUUGGUUUGGUUUUUUCCGGUUCGGUUUCAGUUUUUUUUCAAAAAAUGAAAAAUUUUGAAAUCUUAAAUUUUAACAUAUCCAACACAAUCAUAACAUAAAUAUUCUGACUAGACUUAAAGAUAAUGAAAAUAAACAUUUAAAGUUCAACUAGAAUUAUAACAUAAAGGUUUUUUUUUAAUAUUUUAGGUUUAAAGUUUAACUGUAAAUAAAUUUCUUUUUAGACGAUGAUGAUGGAGUACGACCUUAUUCAUUCCUCUCUUUCUCUCAAUCUCUCUCUCUCUCUCUCUCUCUCUCUCUCUCUCUCUCUCUAUAUAUAUACAUGUAUUCUUCACUAGCAAUAAGAUAAACAUUCUAUAAUAUACUAUUUAUUUUGAUUAUUGUCUAGGUAACAAUUUUUUAUAUUUUCUUUAUCUUUAUGGUCCGAAUUUUUUUUAUCCAUAUAUGUGGUUACAUAAUAUAAUUUCUCUGUGUUCAGCUUCUACCACCAGCAAAUUUUGAAGAGGUGUUCAUCAAUAUUUUUAAUAUAUUGAUAUACUUUUCAAAGUUGUUAGGCCACGGAAGCUACUAUACUUGGCCAUAGGUGAGAAAGUUUGAAUUUUGUUUUUGAUCUCGUAGUGUUUAAUAAACUCAUGAGACUUUUAUACGAUGUUUGCUUUCCCUAAUCAACUGCAGUGCAGUUGAGAUAUGUGUUCUUAUAUAUGUGUUGCACUUAAUGAUAUAAACUAGAAAUAUUGCAUGUAAUGGUAUAAGUUCUAAUUUUUGUUGUAGAUGGAGAAGCUGAGAAGACAACUUGAAUUGGAAAGCAAACAAGUCCUACCAAAGCAGCAGUCUGAAGUAUCAUAUUCUAAUAUAAUAAAAUCAAAUAAUUAAAUAAAUAAAAUUAAAAAAAUAUUAAUUUAAUUAUUUUGGUUCGGUUUCUAGACCACCAAAACCGAACCGAACCAAAAGAGUUUGGUUCGGUUCGGUUUUUUCGUUCGGUUCGGUUUUUUCUAUUUCGGUUCGGUUCGGUUUUCAGUUUUUUGAACCCACCCCUAGUUCCAAGGUUCCUUAGCCUCCCAUUUACAUUAUUUUUGGAAAUGAAUACUAACUAUUCCUAUAACCGAACAAAUGCACUGUCAUUAUUUCGUAAACUGAACAAUUACUAUUUCUAGAAUUGAACACGGGUACCAUAACUAUUUCUUCAAUAGUGUGGAUUAUUUUGCUGUAUUUCUACAAAUAGUGUUUAUUUUGUUAACUUCAAGAAAUAGUGUGGAUAUUUUUGUUCACUUCCAAAAAUAAUGUGGAUUAUUUUGGGUUCAGUUUCAGAAAUAGUGUGAGUUAUUUUGGUGAGAUUCCAAAAAAAAGUGUGAGUUAUUUUGAUCCAAUUUCAAAAAUAGUGUGGAAUAUUUUGGUUCAAUUUCAAAAAUAGUGUAAUUUUUCUGUAGUUCCAGAAAUAGUGUGAGUUAUUUAUUUUGGUUCAGUUUCAUAAAUAUUGUGGGUUAUUUUGGUGCAGUUUCAUAAAUAGUAUGAAUUAUUUUUGUUUAGUUUCAGAAAUAGUGUGAAUUAUUUUGGCUUAGUUUCAUAAAUAGUGUGAGUUAUUUUGUUAAGUUCCAGAAAUAGUGUUUAUUUUGUUCCCUUCCAAAAAUAAUGCGGGUAAUUUUGCUAUAAUUCCAAAACUAUUAUCGGUUAUUUUGGUUUAGUUUCAAGAAUAAUGUUUGUUAUUUUGUUGUAGUUUCAGAAACAAUGUUUAUUUUGUUCAUUUUCAUAAAUAGUGUAAGUUAUUUUUGUUCAAUUUCAUAAAUAGUGUAGAUUAUUUUGCUGUAGUUCAAAAAAUAGUGUUUUUUUUUUGUUUUCUUCCAAAAAUAGUGUGCUAUUUCUUAAAUUGAACAAAGUUUUCCAACUUUUAAGAGCUGAAACUAGCAUUAGUAGAUUCAAAAGUACGAAACUCUGCAAACAAAUCAAAUUUACAUAUAAAAAGUUAUAUUUUGUUUAACAUCGUCCAAAUAAUUGCUAAAAAACAUGGUGACCAUCAAGAUCUAACAUCAAAUAAUUCCACAACUUGGUAAGGAAAUAGAAUUCCCUAUUAGUCAAGGACGAUUGUAGUUAUACAAUUUAAGAUAAUUUCCUUCCAUCCACAAAAGAUGUACAACUAAUAAUACCAAAGCAUUAUAUACCAAAAAUGUAUAUUCUCACUGAAGAAUUCCUCAAUGAUAGGAAGCCCACCAUUAAAACCUACGUGUGGUACACCAAAGCGUAAGUCGAAGAAAAAUGCCCUCAAGUAUGAUUAGAGAGAGAGAGAGAGAGAGAGAGAGAGAGAGAGAGAGAGAGAGAGAGAGACAGAGAGAGAGAGAGAGAGAGUGAGUGAGAGGGUGUGAGAGACAUACUUCUUGAAUCACACAAUGUUCAAUCAAUAUCAAAUAGAAAUGCUUGUCUAGAAGCGACACAAGCUAGAGAAGAUUUUUGUCUUCACAUAAUGGAAGGUGAUUAUAGCAAGCACUCAAGUGACAAAUAUUGAAAGUAUAAAGAACAUGACGAAACUAAGAUGCUAUGUCUAGUGGCUUGACCCAAUGAAACACAAUUGUUUGUUCUAAAGUAAAUAUACUUCCUGUUAACAUAUAUUACAGUUAAAAAUCCUGAAAUGCGAUAAGAUACCAUACCUUUCUUGUCAAUUUUGGUGAGUCUUAACAUUUCACAAAAUGCAUUACAAAAAUUUCUUAAUAAAACUAUAAAUAUUAUAGGACACAGAAAAUUAUCGUAGUGCAAAGAAAGAUUAUACGCUCUUGACCCUUGUCCUGCUUAAUGUUUUCUCGAGUUUAAGCUAUACUGAGUUGGCAAUGUAAAACUAAUAACAAGUAACCAGAAGAUAAAUAACUUUUCGAACUUAUCACUGUGACAUAGAUUUGUGAUCAAAAUUCCUCCUAGUCCAAGACCAAAGCCUGAAGGGGUUGAAUACUUUGAACUAAUAAGAAUGAACAUAUUUGUUAAGGUAGGAUAAGGAUCAAACGUAUUAAAUUGUCCAUUGUAUCAACCAUUCAUCCACAAGCCUACCAUUUGAACUCCAAAAUAAUUUCACUUAUCUUGUCAACCAUUGGAUAUCAAUUACCUUUUAAAUGCUUAGACAGACACCAUCCCCCAGUCCAAACCACAACAAAAGGGAAAAAGAAAGGUUUUAGUUACAUAGUUCAAACACGAAAAGCAUUAAAGGUCUACAAUUACAGGUCAACCGAUGUCUCAGAAAACUAUGAUCAGGCACCUAAAUGUAGGUGAGGCAAUACGAGUCGCUCAGGAAAAGGCUGAUGCAACCUGCUUAGCUAAGCAAUUUGCCAACAAUCCUAAAAAUGUAAAAACGUUUGAUGAUUUUGUUUGCUUGUUUGUUCAGAAUCAAGAUUAAAAUUCCUAAGAACAAUGCAAUGCUAUUCUCAAAUACAACUUCCUGUAAUGAAAUUUGAAAACCACAAACCCCAACUCCACUCAUUCCAUCCAGAACACAUCAAAUAUAGUAUUAUAAUUUAAUCGAGUUAAAACUCAUUAGGGAUAGAUCAACAUUCACAAAGAUAGAAUCCCACGUCAACAAUGAAAAGAGGUCAAACCAUAUGGGAAUUGGAUGAUUGCGUUAAACUAUUUAAGAUGAAUAUGUACUAGAAAAGUAACUAAAAGAAAUUUUAAGAGAUAAUUAGAUAAUAAAAACUCAUCCCUCAUAUUAAAAAGGAGGUGCCAAAUGAAGCACCUAACAAAUUGAAAAGCAAAAAGCAUGAAGAAAUAGCUCUGACCAUUUGUUCAAGCUCUUGACCUCCUCGUUUGUCACUUGCCCUCCAAGCCCAGCAGCUCCAGCUUCCGGUUGCCGUGGUCUUCACCUUCAUCAUUAAUUCGAUUGCAAAAAUUCAAUAACAAAAAAAAAAAAAAAAAACCGUGAAUUGAAAUCAGGAACAAAAUCAGAAAUAUGCAAAUACUUUAAACAAGAAACCUAAACGAGAAGAGAGCGUACUAUUUGAGGAGAAACUGAGCUCUAGAGCCUCGACACUGAGCCGCUUGCCCGUGCUUAUCGGAUUCGAUGAUUCAAUUUAUUUGUGAAUUGGUGGAAUUCGAAUUGAAAAUGAAAAAGAGAUUGGGUGGGGAGAGAGAGAGAGAGAGAGAGGAGAGAGAGAGAGAGAGAGAGAGAGAGAGAGAGAGAGAGAUUGCAACAAUGGAGGAAGUGAGAUUGAAUUGGAAAUAAAAGCAAUAGCAGAGAAUAGAUGGAGGAGGAUCGAGAAAGUGAGAGAAACAAGUUUACGUCACCGUAAUGAAAAUAUGAGGAAUUGAAUUGAGGAGGAGUUGGAAUGAGAAGAAGUCAAAAUCGGAUUUCUGUUGAAACUGUUUACUUAAAUGUUCUGGAAUCGAAAUAGAAUUUCAUAAAGUUGUUUACUAAUUCAACAUAAUCAGAAUAUAAACCAAUAUGAUUACUAAAAUACCCUUGUUCCAAAUCAAAUAUGUAUUAAUGCUAGCCAAGAUAGUGUAAGCCACCAUGAUUUGCGUAUAUUGUUUAUAACCUACUCUUUGUGCUCGAUGGUACUUGAGCUAUGCUUGAUGUUACUUGAGCUAUGCUUAGGCGUGCUCAUUUUGUUCUUAGGAUUGUGUAUGUCAUGAACAGUAUGAAAUUCCAUAUGGUGGAAUGAUACAGUUUUAUAAAUGUGUUAGACAACAUAAUAACUAUUGAGCUUGUGUUUCAGAGAGUGUACUGAUGAAAAUUUUCCAUAUCUUUGGUGGUAUCAGGGCAGUCUCAGCCACCAUGCCACAUUUCAGUGUUUCUUGAAGUUACUGAUUCACGGAAUACUUCCAAUGACUAGAGUAGCACAUGCAACAAAUAUAGUUCGAAGAUAGACAAUCAACACAUUCAACGCAGCUUGUAAUUUCUUCUUUGUGGACAAACUUAGAUGAGCCAUUAGUCUACACAAAAUAAUGAAGAAAAAAAAUUUCAUGAAGGACUUCAAUUAACAAGUUAACAAACAUAUCAGCAAACUGAAAUAAAUUAACAUUACAGAACACAAUCAAUCACAAAAAUUUAUAUUUUUUUUCCUCCAUACCUAGUCUCACAAUUAACGGAUAAAUAACAACAUAAAUCAUAGUAUACCUGCUGUUGGAAAUUUUGAGUAGUUUGAGUAGAAAUUUCUUUGUUCCACAUUGACCAUUCCCAAAAGAUUUUAUCACUUUAUAAGGCUUUGUCCUUUAUAGAAAGUGAUUGGAGUAAUAGGCCUGGAGACUAAAAUUGGGCUCACCCGUGGGGUUGGGUUUAGGGGUGUAUUAAUUAAUUGAUAAUUAAUAUAUAAUUAAUAUAUAUUUAAUUGUCAAAAGAUGGGCCUUGGGCCUUCUUGGGCUCUAAUAAUUAAAUUAAUUAAUUAUUUUUAAUUUCAAAUUUAAAUUAAUUAAUUAUUUUUACCAACAGACUCAUCUUUUCAGAUGAAGUCUGAAGUGUGAGAAUGCAGAAACAAAAACACAAUUUUCAGCAAAUGUCUCCCAACAGAUGCAUCCCUUCCUCAUACCUGUUGUGAACAGGUAUAAUCACAUUAUAUAUACAUCCAUCUGCAUGGCAUUUAGAAUACAGAAAAUAAUCAACUUCAUCUUCUAGAUUCCUAAACCUUCUUACUGAGAGAACCACACUAAAUUCGCCAGAAGUUAAAUUUUCCGGUGCUGGAAUUUUAAUUUGAUCGUUGAAUCCUGGUGAAGCAGACGUCCGUAGAACUACAAGCAUAGAGUAGGGACGAAAUUUCUGUUUCAAGGACAUUGCGAUACGCAAGCCUCGAUCUUCAAGUUGUCUGUUUUACAAUUCAUAUUCUAGUUUAUAUUCUAUUAAUUCCUAUUGCAUUCAUUAUUUAUUAGCAUAUAUAAAUUAUCACAGAUUGUUGACUUAUAUCCAACACCUGCAACCAGUGAAGAAAGCUCAACCCACAACCUUGUCCUCACUCUUCCUAAUUUCAUAAAGAUGAUGAAUAUUUAAUUAAUAAACAUUUGUGAGCAUAAAGAAUUAGGGAUAAAGUACUCUUCCUAAACAAUACAACAUUUCAAACAUCAAAACAAAUCAGGCCCACUUCACAAAUCCAAAAACCAAUAACAAAGUUUCCAACUUAUUGAAAUUCGUAAAAAAACUUAUCAAUCCCACGCCCUCCUCUCUCUCUCUCUCUCUCUCUCUCUCUCUCUCUCUCUCUCUCUCUCUCUCUCUCUCUUCCAUCGAACCCCACCUGAAAAAAUCAAGACUCAUCAAUCCAUCAUCAUCUCAUUCCUCACCACCUUCAUUAUUCAGACCCCACCACCUCAAAUCCCUACAACUCAGACCCCACCACCUCAAAUCCCUACAACCAGAGCAAAUCACUAGCCGUUUUUCAUCGCUACUCAAGCAGAAGUCAUGGGGGUAUGCAAGCUAGUCUUUUUUUUGCCCUUUAAUUUAGUUAUUGAAUUUGUAUCAAUGUAUGUAUGCGUAUGGUUCUGUGUUUGAUCUGAGACUGAGUUUUGUUUGUGGAGCAAUUCGAUUCGUUUCCAGCAACAGCUUGGUGGUGGAGUUGAAAUUGAAGAACUAGUCGGCAGGAAUCAAUUCAGCCUCUCUCUCUCUCUCUAACAAGUGAAGUGAAGUGAAGGAAGCAAUGAAAGAUUCAGCAGGAUGCAAGGAAACACAAUUAAUGGAAAAUCUUUCAUUUAUUUUCUAUCAGAGGUCAGAGUCUUCGUCCAGAAACUCAUUUACCCGUGUUGUUCAAAGCAAAAAAUUCAAUAUAGAGAUAAAAACGCAGAAGAAGUAGGGAUUUACCUGUCCGUAAUUGUGACGAGAGCUGCGGCUCAAAGGAGAGAAAGGCAUGCGUCUGAGAGAAGAGAGAAAGGAUCUAUGUGAAAAGGAAAUAGUCUAGGGUUAAAAGGAUAAUCUUGGAAGUAAUGAAAAUAAGUGAGGGUAUAAAGGAAAAAAAAUUAACAUUCUAAUUGCCCCAAGCCAUCCGGUAUCCAAAUACCUCAUUUAUGUUGGGAAUCCAAAUCAGCCAAAUAUUGAAAUUGGAUUCCGAAAUUUGUGUGGAACCCACUAAAUUUUGAUUCAUCUAGAUUUGGUAAACACUAGGGUAUGCCGUAAUCGGAAAGGCGUUUCACCAUAUUCAAGAGCAACGUCGAGUAUGUGGAGAAAUUCAAUCGUGAUGAAAAUAACACAUACAAGUUAGGACUCAAUGAAUUUGCUGAUUUGAGCUACGAUGAUUUCGUUUGACAAUAUGCUGGAUACAUAAAGCCCACUGAACAUACAUCAUCCGCAGAUGUAUCUUUUAGGUACGAGGGCUUAGGCGGUCCUGACUCCUAAUGUUCCCCUUAGCAUCGACUGGAGGAUUCAUGGAGCCGUCACCACCGUAAAGAAUCAAGGACCCUGUGGUAAGAGUCUAAGAGAUCAACUUUAAAUGCUUUAUGUUGAGACAUAUAUUUUCACAAACAAAAUAUAUUAGCAAGUCUUAUUAAAAACAGGGAGACUUCAAAAAAUAAUAAUAAUAAUAAUAGAGUCCAAAAUGGCGGACUGACUAGAAAUAAGGCUCACAUUAUGUGUGUGUGUGUAUAUAUUCUUAUAUAUACUAUAUUUAUAUAUAUAAGAAACAAAGAGAGGAAAAAAAAUCCCGCACACGUGGACCUCAACAUAUGCCAAGUCUAAAGGAGUUUGUCAUCUACAUGGCAACCGGGUAUAGAGAUCUUGUGUGUCUAGAACCCUUUAAAAGCUUCCACGUUCUCCACUUAAGUGGUGGUUUUGUCUCAGCAUCUCCACACCCCAGAAAAGUAGCAUCCCACUAACUUCAACUGUCAUGUCCACUGUUCGCCUAUAAAAAGGCAUCGAACCAAAGAAAAGGGGGAAGAAAAAACAAGAGGGGGUAUGCUGCAAAAAUUGAAAGAGGAAUUGAGAAAAAGAAGAGGUACUCUACAGAAAUUGGGAGAGAAAUUGAGAGAGAAAUCCGAACCAAGUCUUUCAAGGAAGGAGAACGAACAACUAACAACCACCAGAAGGUACAAAACCUAUGUUUCUCUUCUCUUCAUUUUCUUUCCAGAAAUUUUGUUUUGCAAGUAGGUGUUUUCUUGAGUAAACUUUGGUAAGCAAAGAAUCUAUAUGCUAGCAACCCUACGUUCUUUUAUACCUGCAACAACAACACGAAGCAGUCCAAAAAUGGGAACAACCACAUGUUUUCUUUCUGCCUAAAUUUGAAGAGAACAAAAACACACAAGAGCUCUGCUCCCCGCCGCUGCUGUCAAUCCCAUGAAUUUCUUCGGGGUGGUCUAAACCACCCCAUGAAGUUCCAAUCAAAUCCAAGACGCUGCAAUGGCUCUAGCACCACCGUCGUUGUGUCUUCAUCGUCAUCAACGCCCUACAACCUGCGAGCAUGUGUCAAGGUCAAACAGCCGUGGUCGCAUCUGAUAAUAGUAUAUAAAGCAAGCUUAACAGCUUGUGAUCGUGUGGUUGUAAUAGUGACAAGUGUAGUCAUCCUGUAAUCCUUGUAAUAGCUUAGAAAGUAAGCAAUCUAGUUAGAUAUAUACUCUACAUAACUAUCAUUGUAAUUAAUCAGAAAAACAGUCAAGUAAUAAAAAAUAUCUUCUCUGUCUGAAAUUUUCUUUCUCUCUCUUCGAAUACUUAUUUCUUCUUCUGCAAGAAUACACCUUCUUUGUAUCUGUUGCUAUCUUUACGUGGUAUCAUUCGCCGGAAAAGCUUCGUGCUUGACGGUUAAUUGAUCUUGGUUAUUUUGCUUCUGCUCUGUGUCUUCCAUCUCUCGAUUUUUUAGGGCUCUAAUUUCCCUCUUCUUCUCUGGUUCUCGGUGUUUGAAAUAUUGCAUACCAGGUGUUUGAUCUUUUACCUCAGUGACAUCUUCUUCGAAUUCUUGAUUCAUAUUGGAUCAUGGUGACUGCUACGCAAUUGCAGAUUCUUCAAUCUCCUAUUACCUCUCUCAUCUCAUCAGUUUCCUCCUCUGUUUCUGUGAAACUUGAUGACUCCAAUUACCUCACAUGGCAUUUUCAGAUAGAGCUUCUUCUCGAAGGCCAUGGUAUUAUAGGGUUUGUAGAUAGUACAAACCCUUGUCCUUCGACCCUGAUCGAUUCAACUGAGUCUUCCAGUGAUUUGCAUAACAGUGAUGCUUUUAAGAUUUGGAAAAUGCAGGAUCGGGCUCUCAUGCAACUCAUCACUGCCACAUUAUCUCCUUCUGCAAUUUCGUGUGCUAUCGGUAGCACUAGUGCUCGAGACUUAUGGGUGCGUCUUAAAGAAUAAUUUUCAAUUGUUACUUGGGCCAUAAUCUUUUAGAUGAAAUCUGAGUUGCAAAAUAUCAAGAAAGGUACAGAUUCCAUUUCCUUAUAUCUUCAACGAAUUAAAGAAGCUCGUGAUUACUUAGUUGCUGCUGGUGUUCUGUUUGCAGAUGAUGAUAUUGUGAUUUUAACUCUUAAUGGUCUGUCUUCUGAAUACAAUACAUUGAGAUCUAUUAUUAGAGGUAGGGAGAAUGUUAUCUCUAUGAAGGAUCUUCGCUCACAAUUGUUUGCUGAAGAAACAAUGCUUGCUAAUGUUCUUGUUACUAUUUUCCUAUCUGCAAUGGUAGCUAGCAAUUUGUCUGCUUCAUCUAAGUCUCCUCACUUUGAGGCCAAUUUGACUCAUGAUAAUUACUCCAGCAAUGGUCAUCCCUUAAAUGGCGGGUCAUAUGGUUCUCAGGGAAGUUUUUAUCAGUCCAAUGGGUCUGGUUCCAAAUCUACUUACAACAAAAACAAGGGUAAAGGCAAGUAUCACUACAAUUCCCGGUUUGGUAAUGCAAAGUCUGGUUCUUUUCAUAACAAUGCUCCUGGUAUUCUUGGUACCUCUCCACCAAAGGCACAAGGGUUUUUCCAAACUCCAUGUCAAAUUUGUGGAAAAUUUGGACAUCUAGCUGUUACUUGCCGGUUUCAAAAUACUGAGAACCCUAUUACAGAAGGUUGUCAAAUAUGUGGAAAAAGGAAUCACAGUGCUCAUUUCUGUCAUUUUCGAAAUGCCAACCUACAAACUCAGCAAGUGUCAGCUAUGCAUGUUGCCGCUCCAUCAUCUGUUCCAAGUGCUCUUCCCUAACAGAUUUGGCUUAUAGAUUCUGGGGCUACAUCUCACAUGACUGUUGACCUUAAUCAGUUGUCAUUGGCCUCUCCAUUUCCUUCCAAUGAGACAAUUCAAACUACUGGUGGUGGUGCAGGUUUAUCAAUUUCCCACAUUGGUUCAUCAAUUCUACAUACACCUUUCAAACCACUGCAUCUUAAUUCAGUUCUAUAUGUGCCUAAACUAACUCAGAAUUUGUUAUCUGUGCAUAAAUUGCGUCUGGAUAAUAACUGCUGGUUAAUAUAUGAUGUUUUGUGUUUUUGGAUCCAGGACAAAGCCACAUGGAGGAUACUUUUCAACGGACAUUGCAGUAAUGGAUUAUAUCCUAUUCCACUACCAGUUUCAUAUCACUCUCCUUUACCCAGAGUACAAGCUGCUUUCCUUGGAAAACAUGUAUCUUUGAGUCUAUGGCAUAGUAGAUUAGGCCACCCAUCCAAUUCUAUAGUAUCUGCCAUAUUACGAAAAUGCAAUGUAUCUGAUAUACUUGAUCAUAAGUCUGUGAUGUGUCACUCUUGUCUAGAAGGGAAAUUUUGUAAAUUACCAUUUGUUGACCUUGUCUCUAAGUCCCUGCAUCCUUUGAUAUUAUUCAUAGUGAUGUAUGAGGUCCUUCCCUUUGUAAUUCUGUGGAGGGUUUUAGAUACUAUGUGACAUUCAUUGAUGAAUGCACUAGACAUUGUUGGCUCUUUCCUCUCUUCAAUAAAAGUGAUGUUUGUUCAACUUCCAUUGCCUUUUACAAUUUUGUGUUAAAUCACUUUGCUAUUUCUGUUAAAACCUUACAAAGUGAUGGGGGAGGUGAAUAUAUUAGCAAGUCAUUUCAACAAUUUCUUGUGACCAAGGGUAUUAAACACCAACUUUCAUGUCCAUACACCCCUAAACAAAAUGGCCUAGCUGAAAGGAAGCAUAGACAUAUUGUUGAAACAGCUAUAACCCUUUUGCAAACUGCCUCAUUGCCUCCAAAAUUCUGGUCAUUUGCAUGCCAAGUUGCUGUCUACCUUAUUAACAGAAUGCCAACACCUGUUUUACACAACAAAUCCCCAUUUGAGUUGUUGUUUAAAGAUGUACCAGCUAUCAAUCAUCUUCGGGUAUUUGGUUGUUCUUGUUUCCCACUGUUAAAACCUUACAAUAACACCAAGUUGCAACCUAAAACAACAAAAUGUGUCUUUUUAGGCUAUGCUUCCAGAUACAAAGGCUACCUAUGCUAUGAAGUGAGUCAACAAAAUAUGUACAUAUCUAGGCAUGUUAUUUUUUAUGAGAGUGAAUUUCCUUAUGCCCUGUUGUCUUCCAAAAACUCAAAUUCAUCAUCUUUUACUCCUUCUAUUUUGUCAUCCUCUAUUUCAAUGCCUUCUGUCACACAUGAUAAUCAGGUUGUCUCUAUAUCAUCUGUAUCUAACUUACCUACACUUGAGUCAAUUCCUAACCCUCCACACCCUGAAUCCAUUACUGCAACAACAACAUAGUCUAUUCUUCCUUAUUCCCCUGUGGCUGCAGAAUUGUCCUCUGGUUCUAAUCAUCAUGAUCACAUUGAGCUUUCUUCAGAGUUUCACCCUGAGAGUUUGCAAGUGGUUCCUUCUCUCCCACCUAUGAAUACACAUGCCAUGCAGACAAGAUCCAAAAAUGGCAUCUUCAAGCCUAAAGUUUUUGUCUCAAAAAUUGGAGAUGACAAUCCAAUUGAUUUAACUCAGGUGGAACCAUCAACAUACAAGUCCGCUCUUAAAUCCUCAGUAUGGUGUGCAGCUAUGACAAAAGAGCUAUCGGUUUUGCAUUCUCAAGGAACUUGGUCCUUAGUUCCUCUUCCUGCAAACAAGAAUUUGGUAGGGUGUAAGUGGGUCUUCAAGAUUAAAAGAGAUGCAGAUGGGAACAUUUCUAGAUAUAAGGCAAGACUUGUUACUAAAGGUUUCAAUCAAGAAGAGGGUAUUGACUAUGGGGAGACUUUUAGUCCAGUUGUUAAACCUACAACUGUGAGGUUAGUUUUGGCUUUAGCUGCACAGUUUGGUUGGUCUUUAAGGCAACUUGAUGUGAAGAAUGCCUUUUUUCAUGGAAUUUUACAAGAAGGGGUUUAUAUGUCUCAACCUCUAAGUUUUGUCAACUCUCAACAGCCCUCUCAUGUUUGUAAGUUACAUAAAUCCUUAUAUGGCUUGAAACAAGCCCCAAGGGCUUGGAAUGAGAGGUUUACCAAUUUUUUGCUUUCUCUGGGUUUUCUUACAACGUAUUCAGACUCCUCAUUAUUUGUGAAACAUGUUGGAAAUUCUGUGGUCAUUCUAUUGCUAUUUAUGGAUGAUAUAAUCAUCACAGGCAGUGCUACUGCAGCUAUUACUGAUGUUAUACAGGCUUUAGCUCAAGAAUUUGAUAUUAAAGAUUUUGGACCACUCCAUUACUUCUUAGGGAUCCAAAUUACUCAUCAUUCUACUGGAUUAUUCCUCUCACAGUCUAAGUAUGUUACAGAUUUGCUUCACAAGACUGAUAUGGGUCUUUCAAAACCGUGCAAUACCCCUUGUCUGCCUUAUAACAGGUUACUUAAAGAUGAUGGAAAACCUUUUCAUAAUCCAGCAUUGUAUCGAAGUGUGGUGGGUGCUUUGCAAUAUCUUACAUUUACAAAACCAAACAUUGCUUUCUCCGUCCAUCAAGUAUGUCAGUUUAUGCACUGUCCCAUGGAGUCUCAUUUUAUAGCUGUGAAGAGAAUCCUCAGAUAUCUGAAAGCCACAAUGGAUUAUGGUGUUCAACUAAGCAAAGGGGAUUUAUGUUUACAUGCAUUCAAUGAUGCUGAUUGGGCUGGGGAUCCAAAUGACAGACGAUCUACUAUAGGUUUGGUGGUCUAUUUAGGGUCUAGUCCCAUAUCUUGGUCAUUCAAGAAACAAAAUACCGUUUCUAAGUCUUCAACUGAAGCUGAAUACCGAGCACUUUCAUCCAUAGCUACAGAGAUUGACUGGAUCACCUAACUUCUGCAGUUUAUUAGGAUUGAUGUCUCAUGUCCAGUCACUCUUUUCUGUGACAAUCUUUCUGCUAUAGCCUUGGCUUAUAAUCCAGUUAUGCAUCAAAGGACAAAGCACAUUGAAGUUGACAUUCAUUUUGUUCGAGAAAGGGUUGCCAAGAAGUUCCUUCAACUUCAGUUUGUUUCUUCCAAUGAACAAUUUGCCGAUAUUUUCACCAAAGGAUUGUCUACUCCAUUGUUUCAGACACAUUGUUGCAAUCUCAGGUUGAGCAAACCUCCUCCUGUGAUUGAGGGGGGAUGAUAACAGUAUAUAAAGCAAGCUUAACAGCUUGUGAUCGUGGUUGUAAUAGUGACAAGUGUAGUCAUCCUGUAAUCCUUGUAAUAGCUUAGAAAGUAAGCAAUCUAGUUAGAUAUAUACUCUACAUAACCCUCAUUGUAAUUAAUCAGAAAAACAAUCAAGUAUUAAAAAAUAUCUUCUCUGUCUAAAAUUCUCUUUCUCUGUCUACGAAUACUUAUUUCUUCUUCUGCAAGAAUACAUCUUCUCUGUAUCUGUUGGUAUCUUUACAGCAUCUUCAAGGACAAGCACGCUUCCCGUAUUCUUGAAUUGAUGGUGCUAUGCACAACGGUCUCGCUGAGAAAGAAAGCCACGAGAACUCUCAAGGAACAACUGUCAUCACAUCCGUAUAUCCGAGUCCAAAGUAGUUACGCCCCCAUCCUGCUCACUCCGCCAUCAACUACCACGUCCCUGAAAGCUCCGUGAGUGUCCCGGCACCAUGCUCUGUCUUUUCAAAAUUAAAGAUUUUUAGCACUGCAACAACCAACACCGCAACACCACCGCUCUUCAACCGUUGUCUUCGGCAAUCCUCCGGAAAAAGCCCAAGAGCAGUGUAAUCCGCAAUCCGAGGAUGGUGAACCAAGUGAUAUAGUUGGGCACGCGGGUUCAGACCAUCAAUAAAUUCGACAGAGGCUCGAAUAAGAAAGUGGCAACGGUGGUCAGUGUGAAGAAGUUAAAGAAGGCAACAUUUGCAUCACCACUUCUGAUGUCAAACGGAAGACAAAGCCAAGGACAGCACCAGCGACUUCAAUGCCGCCAUUACACAACCACUGCACAAAUCUGAGCAUGAUGAUCCAGGUGGCAAGCUCAUGGAUUCGUACGGACAAUUAUUGCCGUCAUUAAUCACGAACAACGAGAAAGAAGAUGCCACAUAAGAGUUCCUUUUGGGACCAAACAAGCAUCUCAUGGCAGCCAGGAGUUGCAGAAAAAGGGACAAUGCGCAUGGAUGCAUAGAAGGCUUGCUAGAAAUGAAUUGUUCUCUUUCUUUUGUUAAUCACCCUCAAUGUGAUGACAAUAUAAGGAUUAAUUAAAGGAAACCAAUAUAGCAUGGGGUUCGAAAAGUUUGUUUAAAGGUGAAAAUGAGGCUCCCAAAAAUUUACUGCACAAAGGGCUCCCUAUUUUCCUAUCGUUUCUAUGGAGUUCGUAGCAAGAACAAAGAGCAUUGUUGCCUUCCUCAUAUAAUGAUCGCUACUCUAAAUAUUAAAACACGUUGCUGCUUUUCGGUAUAAUUUUCUUAAAAGUCUCCAGAGCUUUCAUAAGUUCCAUGAAGAAAGGAAAUGCAAAUAGCACGUGAUGAAGAGCAAACAAAUGGGGAUGCCGUGCAUGCGAUUCCCUAGAAAAAUGGUCAAAAUAUUAUUAGAAAAUGGUGAAAAGAUGGCAAAUCAUGAUCAUCAUCACCAUGAGGAAAGCCACUUAUGUGGCAUUGAAAUUAAAGAGUUAAAAUAAAAAGGCCUUCCUCUUUGAUUUAAUGCACCAAAAGGCAAAGCCUUCCUUUAUCCUUUGUGCUUCUGCUGAGCACCGAAAUCACCACGUGGAAAGCAAGUAGACAACAAGUGGAUGUAAACAAAAAAGAAGCAUCCAAAUGCUACUGCCUUAAUAACUCAUAUGACUUAAAUAUUAAUCAUCUUUAUGACUAAGUCAUCAAUAUUAGUCAUCAUUAGCUUGCUGACAAAGUUGGAGAUAAGUUCGGGACAAAUGGGUUUAAAGUUUCAUUUAAGUGGGAUUGAAAGUUCAAAAGAAGAAUAUAUAAAAUAAAAUAAAAGGGGCUACUUUGAACAAAACCCUUGUGGGAUAAAUCCCGUGAAGGAAUCAGAGGAAAUAUUUUUUUAUUCCAAGCAUGAUUCUCUACAAAUUUGUCAAAAGAAAGAAGCUGCAAAGGAAAAGGGAAAAAACGAGUUUAAAACUCAAAAGGAAGAGAAAGAGCUUCAACCAAAAAUACAAAAGAGGCUUUUAUUACAUCGGAAGUAAAUAAAAAUUGUGGAUGUGGUCUUCUUUUCAGCACGUAAAGUCCUAUGUGACUUGAAAGAGUUCAAGCUGUCCCAAGUUCACAGAAAAGGAAAAUACUUGCUAUCAAACUUCCUUGGGAAAGGCACUCACGUGAAAAUCAAAAGGAAAAAGCCAUCUCAAAGACCCUUUUUUUUACCAGUUGUUGUGUGCUCUAUUACACUAGGAACUCAAGACUAUCAUAUUAUUUCACAAAGAAAUAAUGUGGAGGGAGGAUGCCUCACGUCUUUGGUAUGUGAAGAGGAGAUUAUGGUAAUCCCACAAGAAGACAAACACAAACAACCCUCAUUGACCACAAGGAAGAACAAUUAGGAGGAAACUACUUUGUAUAAUGACAAGUUCUUUUCAUACUUGUUGAAAGAAGAAAUGUGCAACUCAUGAUGACACUUUAUCUUUGGUUGCUGCUCCAUUCUUCAAAUGAUGUUUCGGAAAAAGAGGAAGAAAUAGUAUUGCUCACAUGGGUGUCACAGAGCAUGGCCCCCAGUAAGAAGUAUUUGGGCCAAAGUACAGAGGACGUCAAAAUGGCAUGUUCCAUGAAUCCAAAGUCACCAAAAAUAGCUUUUUGAAAAGUUCAAGUGGAGGAAAGGCAAAUUUAAGAAGUUUUGAAGCAUUAACAUCAAACCUAAAAGUGGUUGUGCUCCAUGAAGAGAAACAACAAAUCGUAAAGAAAAGCACCAUAGAAAUGCCCAAAUUCCAAAAUAGCAAAGUGAAUUGGAAGAAAGCUUCAUGAAGAAAAGUCAAUUGUUACUAGCAAGCCCCAGUGCAGUUUCUUCUUAAUCAAAACAAAAGGACUAGAUGACAAGCAUGAUUACAUGCCCGAUAAGAAGAGUUAGCAGCUAGCUACAAAAUCGAUUGCACCACAACAAGUCUUGAAGGGCACAAAGCCGUAUCAAAUCUUAAAUGGCACGAAGCCGCGUAUUGCUCCAAUGGUCCAAAGUCCUCGCCUGCAAGAGCCUAAAUUGCACAAGGCAUCAAAUGCUCCAAUGGCUUAAAGUCCUCACCCGCAUGAGCUAAAACUGCAAAAGGCAUCAAAUGCUCCAAUGGCUCAAAGUCCUCACCCGCACAAGCUAAAACUGCACAAAGCAUCAAACGCUCCAAUGGCUUAAAGUCCUCGCCCGCAUGAGCUAAAACUAUACAAGGCGUCAAAAGCUCAAAUGGUUUAAAGUCCUCGCCCGCACGAGCUAAAACUGCACAAGGCAUCAAACCCCAAUGAGCUAAAACUGCAUAAGGAACUACGAGUGGCUUGAUCCCUCAACGAGGGUACGUAGGCGAUCUAGGGCUCUACCUAGGUGCAGUCACAAAAUCAAAUAAACACCUAAAUCUCCAAGUUACGAUUUAUUCAUAUUAGAAUCAAAGGGUAUUCCUUUCCCAAAAGAAGGGUUGUAAUUAAUAGGCGCAUAGCCUAGAAUGGGUCGAACUUAAAUUAAUAAAACCCUCUUUGAAACAAUGAACGAGGGUGAAAUUGUGUUGAGUGAAUUAUUUGUUUACAUAUUGUGUACAAUUUUUGCUCAACACUUUAUUUUGUAUUACUAUCUUAAAUGUUUUUAUUCUUUCCUAAAUUACAAUACUGUCGAUAUUUAGUCCAUAUCUUACCAUGUAUCAAGUACACUAGAACACAUCACUAUUCCUCGGUUUUGUAGUAUGUAUUGACAUUCAUAAUUUGUGUUGUAUAUUGUAGGCUGUUGCUGGGCAUUCUCUGCAGUGGUAGUUUUGUAAGGGAUUAUCCAGAUCAGAACAGGUCACUUGAGAUCGAUCACUAUCCGAGCAGCAACUUGUGGACUGUUUCGGAGAUUACGGAAACAAGGGCUGCCGUGGUGAUACUAUGGUGACUACCUUUGAAGACAUACCGCAAAACCGAGGAAUUGCAAGCGAAGCAAAUUUGUCACAUCCCGGCCAGGGGCGGACCACUUCCCAGGCCCGCUCCACCACCGUAGCACGAUAUUGUCCGCUUUGGGCUUACCAUUCCCUCACGGUUUUGUUUUUAGGAACUCACGAGCAACUUCCCAAUGGGUCACCCAUCCUGGGAGUGCUCUGGCUCCCUUCUCGCUUAACUUUGGAGUUUCCUAUGGAACCCGAAGCCAGUGAGCUCCCAAAAAGCCUCGUGCUAGGUAAGGAUGAGAAUAUACAUUUAAGGAUCACACCCCUGGGCGAUGUGGGAUGUCACAAUCCACCCCCCUUAGGGGCCCGACGUCCUCGUCGGCACACUUCCGGCCAGGGAUUGGCUCUGAUACCAUUUGUCACAUCCCGGCUAGGGGCGGACCACUUCCCAGGCCCGCUCCACCACCGUAGCACGAUAUUGUCCGCUUUGGGCUUACCAUUCUCCCUCACGGUUUUGUUUUUGGGAACUCACGAGCAACUUCCCAGUGGGUCACCCAUCCUGGGAGUGCUCUGGCUCCCUUCUCGCUUAACUUCGGAGUUUCCUACGGAACCCGAAGCCAGUGAGCUCCCAAAAGGCCUCGUGCUAGGUAAGGAUGAGAAUAUACAUUUAAGGAUCACUCCCCUGGGCGAUGUGGGAUGUCACAAAAUUACCCAUACCAGGCUACUGAGGGAAUAUGCCACCCUAACAACUCAAAUUGGCACGCUUCCGGUGCAAGUAUAACUGGUUACGGAUUAGCUCCUUGCAACAGCGAAAGCGAUCUAAUUAAGGCCGUGUCCAUGCAACUAGUUUCAAUUAGCAUUCAUGUCACCUAGCAGGACUUUAGGUUUUACAAAAGCGGGGUCUUCACAGCUGUACAAGGUUGCAGGACAGUCCCAAACCAUGGUGUCACCAUCGUUGGCUACGGGAAUACUACAGAUGGCACCCAGUACUAGAUACUCAUGAAUGAAUGGCGUGAGAGCUGGGGCGAAAAUGGCUACAUGAGAAUUCUUAGAGAUGCUGGCCCUCCUGAAGGUCUUUGUGGCCUUGCUACAACGACUUCCUACCCAAUUAUAGAUUGAUCGUCUCGGCUUCGAAGGCUACAAUUAAGUGCGUAAAUCUAAUUUUCUUAUCAAUAUUGAGAAAGCUCUGUCGAUAAAAAGGGCUUGUAUUUUGUGUCUAAUUAGCAUAACUGAAGACGGCAUCAAGUUGUUUUGAAAAGAUUAUAAUUAAGGGUGUGGAUCUAAUUUUCUUUUCAUUUAGGUGUGCAGAGUUUUAUCUCAAAAUACCUCAAUUCUCUAGACUUAAAAUUUUAGAUAGUUCUUGCACUUGAUGAAGUUGAAACUUGAUAUACAUUAGAGCAAUUUUUAUCAAUUAGUUGAGCAUAAAAUUAAUUGAGAAGAUUUGCAACCUCAAGAGAAUUAGUUUUGAAAAGGACGCUUAGUUACGUCAAGAACACUUUGAGUUCGUACUUGAACUUCAAAAAAUCAACAUCAAAUACUGGAGUUUUACGUUCAAAUUUCUUGAACCUGACCCCAAUUCCUUAUGAACAGACUGGUAAAUUUGUAGUCAUCAGCACCAUUAACGGCAACUAAAGGCCAAAGGCAAAGACUCCAGCAAAUAGACCAAGGCCUUGUAGUCAUCAGACCCUUGAUUCAUCAAUGAAAGUUGGGGUUCGACCAUAAAAUCAAUUGGCAAUAUGGGGAGUAGACCAACCUCUUAUAAGCCCAUACAAGAUCCCUCCUCCCAUCAAUGUGGGACUCAUUCUUAACACGCUCCCUCAUGUGUGGCGAAUUUUCAAGCAUUACACAAUGGGAUGACGUGGAGCACGUGUCGCAGUUUGACUUUACACAUGGGACAACCUGCUCUGAUAUCAUAAAAAAAGUUGAAGUUCCACCAUAAGCCGUUCGAACUUCUUUGUGCACAAACUCCUCGGCAAAAACAAAACAAGCAUAGCAUUCGGGCUAGACUGAUUGAUGAAGUUUACUUUGAGUCAUCAACUUGUGGAAUGUGCCUGGAAAUUUGUCUCCCUUCCAAACUCCCAUCCUAACGAUUUCAACAAACUGCACAUCCAGGACAUCCCGAACGUCUUCUAUAUAAACCGGUAAUAUCAUGCUUGCUUCUUCACAUCCAGCUGGCCAAUCACUACUUGAAGCACAGAGCGCCCUCUCAUCACCGGUGGUUCUUUGCGAGCAAUGGCUUUUGAAAGAAAACUUUUGAUUGUUACCAUACUCAUCACCUUGGGGACUUUGGCAUCUGAAGCCACGUCCUACACAUUGUACCAAGCUUCCAUUGCUGCAAAACAUGAGCAGUGGAUAAAAAAGCAUGGACGAGUUUACCAGGACAGCGUGGAGAAGGAAAGGCGUUUCCACAUAUUCAAAAACAAUGUGGAGUUUGUCGAGAAAUUCAACAGUGAAGGGAACAUGACUUACAGCCUUUGCGUCAACCGAUUUUCGGAUAUGAGCUAUGACGAAUUCCUCAGGUAUUAUACUGGAUACAAGCAGCCCACUGAAUCAACCUCAUCCGCAGAUGCAUCAUUUACGUACGAAAACCUAAGCCCGACGGAUGUUCCCCCAAGCAUUGACUGGAGGGACAAUGGAGCUGUUACUCCAGUAAAAGAUCAAGGGCGCUGUGGUAAGAGCACCAACCGCCAUAUUAACAUAGGGCAAAGCUUCCUAGUACAUAUGUAUGUAUUACAUUAAUUACUUUCUUCGUGCAUUCAUUCUUACGGAAAUUAAUUCAUAUCCGUUUGUUCGAAUACAUGCAGGUUGUGUCUGGGCAUUUUCCGCAGUGGCAGCAGUCGAAGGGAUCAUCCAAAUCAAAACCGGCAAAUUGAUAUCACUGUCUGAGCAACAACUUGUGAGCUGUGAUACAAUUAACAAUGGCUGCCAAGGUGGUUCGAUGGAUAAAGCCUAUGCAUACAUUCAACAAAACGGAGGAAUUACCAGUGAAGAAAAUUACCCAUACCAGAGUUUAAAUGGCAGUGCCGGAACAUGUGAUAUGAACAAGGCAUAUAAGGCUGCUGCCCGGAUAACUGGUUAUGCAGAGGUACUUUCCAUCAAUGAAACCGAGCUACUCAAGGCUGUGUCCAUGCAACCAGUCUCUGUUGGCAUCCAUGCCUCACCAGCCUUUCAGCAAUAUUCAGGCGGGGUGUUCACCGGUGAUGAUUGUGGGACAGAAUUGAACCACGCUGUUACCAUCAUUGGGUAUGGGACAACUGAAGAUGGCACCCCCUAUUGGUUAAUCAAGAAUUCAUGGUCCGAUACGUGGGGUGAGAAUGGCUACAUGAAGAUUCUUAGAAACGCUGAUGCCCCAGGUGGUGUUUGUGGCCUCGCUACGAGAGCUUCCUAUCCGACUACAAGUACUACAGACCAACCCAUAGGCUGUGAAAAUGCCUGUAUUUUUUACUUGAUAAAAGUAUGAACUAUGAAAUUGCACUAUUUUACCUUUAUAUUCAACAAUGAAUUUUCCUACCCUGCUUAGGCUAAAUUAAUAACCACAGCUGCAACGGCAGUUUGCUGGA